UGGGGAAUUUUGGACAAUGGGGGAAACCCUGAUCCAGCCAUCCCGCGUGUGCGAUGAAGGCCUUCGGGUUGUAAAGCACUUUUGGCAGGAAAGAAACGUCAUGGGUUAAUACCCCGUGAAACUGACGGUACCUGCAGAAUAAGCACCGGCUAACUACGUGCCAGCAGCCGCGGUAAUACGUAGGGUGCAAGCGUUAAUCGGAAUUACUGGGCGUAAAGCGUGCGCAGGCGGUUCGGAAAGAAAGAUGUGAAAUCCCAGAGCUCAACUUUGGAACUGCAUUUUUAGCUACCGGGCUAGAGUGUGUCAGAGGGAGGUGGAAUUCCGCGUGUAGCAGUGAAAUGCGUGGAUAUGCGGAGGAACACCGAUGGCGAAGGCAGCCUCCUGGGAUAACACUGACGCUCAUGCACGAAAGCGUGGGGAGCAAACAGG
rnacentral:rRNA from 1 species